UUGGAAACCAUGUUUGUAUCCUUGAUUUUGCAAUUCGAAGAAUGAAAAUGAAGCAAUUUUAUGGAGAAUAGUUUUCUUUAGAUUUGUUGAAAUAUGCCAUUGUUGGCAUGUGUUAGGCUCUUAGACUCCAAUAAUGGAACAUGCCUUGCCUCAUGCUCUCCGACUACUCAAUGGGAGGCUAGCCUAGACUGGUAGAAAG
rnacentral:lncRNA from 1 species